rnacentral:rRNA from 1 species
AUCAGCUUUCGAUGGUAGUGUAUUGGACUACCAUGGCAGUAACGGGUAACGAAGAAUUAGGGUUCGAUUUCGGAGAGGGAGCAUGAGAAACGGCUACCACAUCUAAGGAAGGCAGCAGGCGCGUAAAUUACCCAAUCCUGACUCAGGGAGGUAGUGACAAGAAACAGCAAACCGGGAACCUCAUGGUUUCACGGUAUUGCAAUGAGAACAAUUUAAAACCCUUAGCGAGAAUCAAGUGGAGGACAAGUCUGGUGCCAGCACCCGCGGUAAUUCCAGCUCCACUAGCGUAUAUUAAAGUUGUUGCAGUUAAAAAGCUCGUAGUAGAACCUCUGUCUGGGGCUAGUUUUGGCUUUGGUCAGGCUAGUUCUAGGCAUCCGCCUACAAGACUUAGAGGGCAUUCAGUUGUUCACUAGGAGGAGUAGGCAUUUUACUUUGAAAAAAUUAGAGUGUUUAAGGCAGGCAAUCGCCCGCAUAUAUUAGCAUGGAAUAAUAGAAUAGGACACUUUUCCAUUUCGUUGGUUAUUGGAAUCGUGUAAUGAUUAAUAGGGACAGUUGUGGGCAUUUGUAUUUAAUUGUCAGAGGUGAAAUUCUUGGAUUUAUUAAAGACAAACUAACGCGAAAGCAUUUGCCAAGGAUGUUUUCAUUAAUCAAGAACGAAAGUUAGGGGAUCAAAGACGAUCAGAUACCGUCCUAGUCUUAACUAUAAACUAUUCCGACUCAAUGUUUGACUGGCUUAUAUAACCAGUUGAGCGUUGUAUGAGAAAUCAAAGUCUUUAGGUUCUGGGGGGAGUAUGGUUGCAAAGCUGAAACUUAAAGGAAUUGACGGAAGAGCACAACCAGGAGUGGAUUCUGCGGCUUAAUUUGACUCAACACGGGGAAACUUACCAGGUUAAAACAAUAGUGGGAUUGACAGUUUGAGAGCGCCUUCUUGAUUGGUUGGGUGGUGGUGCAUGGCCGUUCUUAGUUGGUGGAGUGAUUUGUCUGCUUAAUUGCGUUAACGAACGAGACCUUAACCUGCUUACUAGACUGGCGAUCAUCAAUCGUUAGCUCUUCUAGAGGGACUUUGGUUGUUUUAACUCCAAGGAAGUUUGAGGCAAUAACAGGUCUGUGAUGCCCUUAGAUAUCCUGGGCCGCACGCGUCAUACAAUGACUAGUUCAGAAAGUUUUCUCCUGACCCGAAAGGGGAUGGGUAAUCUUGAUAAUACUAGUCGUGUUAGGGAUCGAUCUUUGCAAUUAUAGAUCUUGAACGAGGAAUUCCUAGUAAGUGCGGUUCAUCAGACCGUACUGAUUACGUCCCUGCUCUUUGUACACACCGCCCGUCGCUUCUACCGAGUGGGUGGUCCGGUGAGAUAAUUGAACUUC